rnacentral:lncRNA from 1 species
GGCUUGCCAACUCUAACGGUCUUACCGGCCACGCGCUGAGACGUUGGUAUCAGACAUGCAAUAGGUGAGGUCCACAGCCAUUGCUUUACGAAUGGAUAACCUCUGGAAAGGUCAUUAAUUAUAAAACAACAGCUUAACGUAUCAAACUUAUCGUGUGAAUUUAAUACAGUUCGAGGAGACUGCAAAGCAGGGGUCUUAUGGAAAGAGCUAUAGUUCUAUGCUGAGCCAAUUUGUAUAGUAAGCCUAUCACUUGGCACUUGAAAAUCUGUGCUUUGUCGUUGCUAUAUAUUAGGGCCUGUUUUUCAUGAGACACUGGAAAAAAUUUUGAAAAUCCGUAGAAGGUCAUAGCAUGGAAAUUGUAUGGACCAUUUUGAUUAUCCAUAAUAAUUGUAUAUUUCCAUUCCGAUAGUAUGGAUAUACUAUGGAUUUAGUGGUGCAAUUGCAAAUUUCAUAGCCGAUGGAUUUCACAUGUAUUUUCUCCCAGGGAGACGGGCGAACUAACCACUUCCAUGUCGUACAGCGGCUUCACUGAAGACAAACGAUACGGUGAAAUGGUAAUUAAAUCUCGGCCAGUGAACAUCUUCCAAAAAACACAAAAAUAAAGACAUAUUCCGAAAAAACUACCAUCUUAAAAGACUGGAACCAAUUGUUAAAACAAAGACAAAGAUAUAAAAUAAACGACUGGAAAGAGCAUCUCAAAAUUAGUAGGUAUACAACUUGCAAGUUUUUAUGAAUUGUAUGGACGACAUGAUGUAUAGGGACGACAAUCAAUAGUUUUUGUUUAACGUCGACUGUAUACCAAAUAAAAUGUUGUUGGAUAGAAUGUUAAGAUAUUUUUCUCAGUAAGCAAUUAAAUUGAUCACCACAUUGCACCAGCCAAUUGCACUAUUUCUUUUCUAAUACUGUCGGCAUAACUCAAGUCUCAAGAAAGCUUUUACUGAGUGUUACAUUUCAACAUGAGCUCCACCUUUAUUCUUUAAAAAAAAGUUAGAUUAUAGGGUUGCGGUUAGGGGUUAGGUAUACCGCGAAUUUAUCAUAUUGAUAAAUUGGGACGUGUUUAACAAUAUACUCAUAAGUGAAUUCAAAGGUGGAGCUCGUGCUGUUAUUUUUAUAUUGACUAAUUUACAAAUUCUCAUCUGAGUAUUUCAUAAAAUCGACUGGUGAAUUUCACCACAAAAUCAAGUUCCCUAUUUAAACUGAAAAUUUACUUUUUGUCCUCGAUAGUCCAAUAAUGUCCGGCGGUUCCUCAAUUUCGUUGUCAAAACUACUUAUACUAUCGCACUUUUUUCUAUUACCGCACGUGUUCAUUAAAAUUGUUUAAAAUGAAAACCGCGACGUUUUUGACUUCUAUGGGAAAUUUCUCAAUCAACGCUCGCAUACUAUAUAAAUGUUAUAUUAUAUAAAUAUUUAUGUUAAACCCAAUCUCGUAUCCAAAUUAGCCCUUCCAUAUAUUGUGUUCGACGUUUGAUUUCCGAUGACUCAUGCAGGCUCCAACGUCGCUCUACUCCUCUAGUGGCGAAUUGGAUUAUACUACAGUUCGGUGCAUGUGCAUGAAAAGAGUAACUCUUGAUCCAGGCCUUACAUUAUAUUCACUGCAUCAAAAGUUCGAGGUAUGAAACAGUCCUCAGUCAUUUUAGUGAAAAACUGCGUUUUCCUUCUUUUUUCCGUAUACAGUUCCACCGGACACGCAUCUAAUGGAAGGGAUCGUACUGCUAUUCAUGCCAUCCUCCCACACGUACUAGGAAUAAACUACUGGUCAGACUCAUUUUUGUUCAUAAUUACACUUUAUUGUGACAAGUUUAGCAAGAUAAAAAACAACUACAAGAUAGAGUUACUUUGAAGACUUGGUAUAAGACAUAAAAGAAAUAACGGUGUCCACAGCAAACACUACCAUUGCAAAGAAACCACACACCUAUAGAAAAGACGAAAAUUACG